GACGCCACUAUCAAUCCCCAUAAAUGGUUAUUAUUUGUGAUCUAGAAACAGGAAAUGUCGUGUAUGGAUCAUUUAUAUAUAGAUAGAUGGGGCAGGAUAUUAAUCAUAAAACUGAUACCGUCUAAGAAAAUGGGCGUAACAGCUGCUGAAUACGGCUACCAUAUAAAGUUUACCUGUUUCUACCGACACGUCGAAUAUAGACACGGAGAAGACGAGAAUGAAGCUUGUUUACUUGAUAUUAGUGUUGAUGUUGUUGAUGAUGGAUCCUACGUGCAUUGGAUGCAAGCGGAAGAAACUCCCGUGUACUGGCAUCUGUAACCACCCUCGAGCUCCAUGUCCGUGUUCUCCACCGUGGGAUUUUCUGCGCAGGCGCACUAGAGUGCAAGAUGGAUGAUGUACAGACCGGCCAAUCAUUAGAUAGAGCAUCAUGACUGAGAUUUUGCGGAAAUAGUUGACAAUGUAUAGGGAUUGAACCUAGUUCUGAAAAUAGACUCAGCUCAUUGAAAGAACAUCUCGCAUAGAAAAACAAAUUUAAGUAAAAAAUGAUAUCAAGCAAAAUAAAAAUAAAAAUUCAA